rnacentral:rRNA from 1 species
GUCCACGCCGUAACGAUGAUUGCUAGGUGUAGGUGGGUAUGGACCCAUCGGUGCCGCAGCUAACGCAAUAAGCAAUCCACCUGGGGAGUACGUUCGCAAGAAUGAAACUCAAAGGAAUUGACGGGGACCCGCACAAGCAGCGGAGCAUGUGGUUUAAUUCGAAGCAACGCGAAGAACCUUACCAGGUUUUGACAUAGGAGUGACCGGGUCAGAGAUGAUCCCUUUCUUCGGAACACUCCAUACAGGUGGUGCAUGGUUGUCGU